rnacentral:rRNA from 1 species
GACAGAGGGUGCAAACGUUGUUCGGAAUCACUGGGCGUAAAGCGCGUGUAGGCGGCCAUGCAAGUCGGAUGUGAAAUCCCGCGGCUCAACCGUGGAAGUGCACCCGAAACUGCAUAGCUAGAGUGUCGGAGAGGAAGGUGGAAUGCUUGGUGUAGAGGUGAAAUUCGUAGAUAUCAAGCGGAACACCGGUGGCGAAGGCGGCCUUCUGGACGACGACUGACGCUGAGACGCGAAAGCGUGGGUAGCAAACAGG